AGUGAACGCUGGCGGUAGGCCUAACACAUGCAAGUCGAACGGCAGCACAGUAAGAGCUUGCUCUUACGGGUGGCGAGUGGCGGACGGGUGAGGAAUACAUCGGAAUCUACUUUUUCGUGGGGGAUAACGUAGGGAAACUUACGCUAAUACCGCAUACGACCUACGGGUGAAAGCAGGGGAUCUUCGGUCCUUGCGCGAUUGAAUGAGCCGAUGUCGGAUUAGCUAGUUGGCGGGGUAAAGGCCCACCAAGGCGACGAUCCGUAGCUGGUCUGAGAGGAUGAUCAGCCACACUGGAACUGAGACACGGUCCAGACUCCUACGGGAGGCAGCAGUGGGGAAUAUUGGACAAUGGGCGCAAGCCUGAUCCAGCCAUACCGCGUGGGUGAAGAAGGCCUUCGGGUUGUAAAGCCCUUUUGUUGGGAAAGAAAAGCAGCAGGUUAAUACCCCGCCGUUCUGACGGUACCCAAAGAAUAAGCACCGGCUAACUUCGUG
rnacentral:rRNA from 1 species